AACGACGUAUAUCAGUCCUAUAGUCUAUUCGUAUGCUUUUACGUACAAUAUUGUUCGAAUUGGUCGGAACUAGAAGCAUUGUCUAGCCGUCUCGCAGUCUUUCUAUGAAAUCCGAAUGUUUCACGUGGACGUUAUGAAAGAAUCAAAAUACCAGACUUAACCCACUAAAGAAAUGUGUAGCGUGAGAAAUUUCCGUUAAAUUUCAACCGCCCGCGCCUUGAAAACGGACA